GGCAGUGCCGGGAGAGCGACCCGGUAUCUGGCGGAAGAGUCCUCUGUUGAGAGCGAUCAACAGAGGACUUUUCUUAAUACUGAAAUCUGAAUUUAAGUAGUGCAUAUGGACGGUUUGCCUGUGCACUCAGGAACGUAUUCAGGUGGAUACCGCAUCGCUCGGGGAGGACAAGUUCCUCCUCGCGGUUCCCGUCUUU
rnacentral:sRNA from 10 species